rnacentral:rRNA from 1 species
AGCGAACGCUGGCGGCAUGCUUAACACAUGCAAGUCGCACGGGUGUCUUUCGGGGCAUUAGUGGCGGACGGGUGAGGAGCGCGUAGGGACGUAUCUUGAGGUGGGGGACAACCGCGGGAAACUGCGGCUAAUACCGCAUGGGGCCUGAGGGCCAAAGGCUGGGCGAGAGCUUAGCUGCCUUGAGAGUGGCCUGCGUCUGAUUAGUUUGUUGGUGGGGUAACGGCCUACCAAGGCGACGAUCGGUAGCUGGUCUGAGAGGAUGAUCAGCCACACUGGG